GACGGAGGGUGCAAGCGUUAUCCGGAAUCACUGGGCGUAAAGCGUCUGUAGGCGGUUUAUUAAGUCAACUGUUAAAUCUUGAGGCUCAACCUCAAAAUCGCAGUCGAAACUAUUAGGCUAGAGUAUAGUAGGGGUAAAGGGAAUUUCCAGUGGAGCGGUGAAAUGCGUAGAGAUUGGAAAGAACACCGAUGGCGAAGGCGCUUUACUGGGCUAUUACUAACACUCAGAGACGAAAGCUAGGGUAGCAAAUGGG
rnacentral:rRNA from 1 species